rnacentral:misc_RNA from 1 species
UACGUAGGGGGCAAGCGUUGUCCGGAAUUAUUGGGCGUAAAGCGCGCGCAGGCGGCAGCUUAAGUCUCGUGUAUAAGGUUGGGGCUCAACCCCGACACGCAGGGGAAACUGGGCUGCUUGAGUGCAGGAGAGAGAAGCGGAAUUCCACGUGUAGCGGUGAAAUGCGUAGAGAUGUGGAGGAACACCAGUGGCGAAGGCGGCUUCUUGGCCUGUAACUGACGCUGAGGCGCGAAAGCGUGGGGAGCAAACAGG